AUGUAUACUAGCUAUAAGGAAAAAAACGUUUGUAUAAUCCUGGCUGCAGCUAGAUGUUCAAGCUCCAGUCAUAAGGCUGAUACGAGACCUUCAGUUGAGUGUUUGCGAGCAGCUCCAAGAAUUGCUCCGACGCUGCAGGCUCCAGAUAAUUUGCUGCAUGCUUCAGUACUUCUGUCUCAUUCUUACCAAAGUCGGUGUUAUACCUGCAAACAAUUCAGAACAAGAGUUUUUGAGCUGUAUCUCAUUUUACCAAAAUCUGUGUACUUAUACCUUAAAAUCAUUUGGACCAUGAGUUUCCAAGUUAAUAUUUGGUAA
rnacentral:rRNA from 1 species